rnacentral:rRNA from 1 species
GAUGAACGCUGGCGGCGUGCCUAAUACAUGCAAGUCGAGCGAACAGACGAGGAGCUUGCUCCUCUGACGUUAGCGGCGGACGGGUGAGUAACACGUGGAUAACCUACCUAUAAGACUGGGAUAACUUCGGGAAACCGGAGCUAAUACCGGAUAAUAUAUUGGACCGCAUGGUUCAAUAGUGAAAGACGGUUUUGCUGUCACUUAUAGAUGGAUCCGCGCCGCAUUAGCUAGUUGGUAAGGUAACGGCUUACCAAGGCAACGAUGCGUAGCCGACCUGAGAGGGUGAUCGGCCACACUGGAACUGAGACACGGUCCAGACUCCUAAGGGAGGCAGCAGUAGGGAAUCUUCCGCAAUGGGCGAAAGCCUGACGGAGCAACGCCGCGUGAGUGAUGAAGGUCUUCGGAUCGUAAAACUCUGUUAUUAGGGAAGAACAAAUGUGUAAGUAACUAUGCACGUCUUGACGGUACCUAAUCAGAAAGCCACGGCUAACUACGUG